GUCCUACGGGACGCAGCAGUGGGGGAUAUUGCACAAUGGGGGAAACCCUGAUGCAGCGACGCCGCGUGAGUGAAGAAGUAUUUCGGUAUGUAAAGCUCUAUCAGCAGGGAAGAAAAAAGACGGUACCUGACUAAGAAGCCCCGGCUAACUACGUGCCAGCAGCCGCGGUAAUACGUAGGGGGCAAGCGUUAUCCGGAUUUACUGGGUGUAAAGGGAGCGUAGACGGCAAUACAAGUCGGAAGUGAAAUACUCGGGCUCAACCUGGGAACUGCUUUGGAAACUGUAUGGCUGG
rnacentral:rRNA from 1 species